ensembl:snRNA U6 U6 spliceosomal RNA
GUGCUCACUUCAGCAGCACGUACACUAGAAUUGGAACAAUACAGAGAAGAUUACUGUGGGCCCUUGCAAGGAUGACAUGCAAAUUCGUGAAGCGUUCCAUAUUUUU